rnacentral:misc_RNA from 1 species
UGAAGUUCUUUGUGCUAGGUCUGCCAUGGUUCAAUCUCUUCCAAGGGAGAUGGUUAAUUUAGCUGAAUGGGCGAUGAAGUGGCAGAAGAAGGGACAACUAGAGCAAAUCAUAGAUCCCAAUCUCGCUGGAAAAAUAAGACCGGAUUCCCUUAGGAAGUUCGGUGAAACAGCAGAGAAAUGCUUGGCUGAUUUUGGCGUGGACAGGCCUUCAAUGGGCGACGUGCUGUGGAACCUCGAGUAUGCCCUUCAACUACAAGAGGCAGUUAUUCAAGUCGAUCCUGACGAGAACAGUAGCAAUCUCAUCGGAGAACUCUCUCCUCAGGUAAACGAUUUCAGUCACGUCGAUGCCACUACUUCAGCAAUGCAAUUCGAAGCGUCGAAUCUAGAUGAUCUAUCUGGAGUUUCCAUGAGUAAAGUUUUCUCACAAUUGGUCAAGUCUGAAGGAAGAUAAAUUUGGUGAAAGAUUGUAUAAAAUUGUACUCUUUUUUCUUAGCUCCUCUUUUAAUUCCACUUUUUUUGUUCAUUAAUCAUGUGAAGAUUGUACUUUAUUUUUUAAAUCUAUAGUUUUA